rnacentral:rRNA from 1 species
UACAGAGGGUGCAAGCGUUGUUCGGAAUUAUUGGGCGUAAAGGGCGCGUAGGCGGUGCGGUAAGUCUGUAGUGAAAUCUCUGGGCUCAACUCAGAGUCUGCUGCAGAAACUGCCGUGCUUGAGGGUGGGAGAGGUGCGUGGAAUUCCCGGUGUAGCGGUGAAAUGCGUAGAUAUUGGGAAGAACACCGGUGGCGAAGGCGGCCAACUGGACCACAACUGACGCUGAGGCGCGAAAGCGUGGGGAGCAAACAGG